GAUGAACGCUAGCGGCAGGCUUAAUACAUGCAAGUCGAGGGGCAGCAUGAAUGUAGCAAUACAUUUGAUGGCGACCGGCAAACGGGUGCGGAACAUGUACACAACCUUCCUAUAAGUGGGGGAUAGCCCGGAGAAAUUUGGAUUAAUACCCCGUAACAUAAUGAUGUGGCAUCACAUUAUUAUUAUAGCUACGGCGCUUGUUGAUGGGUGUGCGGCUGAUUAGAUAGUUGGCGGGGUAACGGCCCACCAAGUCUACGAUCAGUAGCUGAUGUGAGAGCAUGAUCAGCCACACGGGCACUGAGACACGGGCCCGACUCCUACGGGAGGCAGCAGUAAGGAAUAUUGGUCAAUGGACGCAAGUCUGAACCAGCCAUGCCGCGUGAAGGAUUAAGGUCCUCUGGAUUGUAAACUUCUUUUAUCUGGGACGAAAAAAGGCUAUUCUUAGUCACUUGACGGUACCAGAUGAAUAAGCACCGGCUAACUCCGUGCCAGCCGCCGCCGUAAAAC
rnacentral:rRNA from 1 species